rnacentral:rRNA from 1 species
GACGAACGCUGGCGGCGUGCCUAAUACACGCAAGUCGAACGCAGUGGGGACGGGUGAGUAACACGUGGGUAACCUCCCAUCAGAGGGGAUAACACUUGGAAACAGGUGCUAAACCGAUACUGAUGGAUGAACCCGCGGUGCAUUAGCUAGUUGGGGAGGUAACGGCUCACCAAGGCCACGAUGAAUAGCCGACCUGGGAGGGUGGUCGGCCACACUGAGACUCAUACACGGCCCACACUCCUACGGGAGGCAGCAGUAGGGAAUCUUCGGCAAUGGACGAAAGUCUGACCGAGCAACGCCGCGUGAGUGAAAAAGAUUUUCGGAUCGUAAGGCUCUGUGGUUAGAGAAGCGGUAUCUAACCGGAAAGCCACGGCUAACUACGUGCCAGCAGCCGCGAUAAUAC